GACGAACGCUGGCGGCGUGCUUAACACAUGCCAGUCGAACGGAAAGGCCCUGCUUUUGUGGGGUGCUCGAGUGGCGAACGGGUGAGUAACACGUGAGUAACCUGCCCUUGACUUUGGGAUAACUUCAGGAAACUGGGGCUAAUAACGGAUAGGAGCUCCUGCUGCAUGGUGGGGGUUGGAAAGUUUCGGCGGUUGGGGAUGGACUCGCGGCUUAUCAGCUUGUUGGUGGGGUAGUGGCUUACCAAGGCUUUGACGGGUAGCCGGCCUGAGAGGGUGACCGGCCACAUUGGGACUGAGAUACGGCCCAGACUCCUACGGGAGGCAGCAGUGGGGAAUAUUGCACAAUGGGCGGAAGCCUGAUGCAGCAACGCCGCGUGCGGGAUGACGGCCUUCGGGUUGUAAACCGCUUUCGCCUGUGACGAAGCGUGAGUGACGGUAAUGGGUGAAGAAGCACCGGCUAACUACGUG
rnacentral:rRNA from 1 species